rfam:Roseomonas sp. M3 M3_S294_L001_R1_001_(paired)_contig_87, whole genome shotgun sequence.
GUCUGACACGGCCCCACGGUGUCCAGUUUGGGCCCGAGUUUUGGUCGUGGUGCGAUGAC